GAAACAGGAUCUAACAAAACAAAAAAGUAUGCAUAUUAAUAAGACAGUAACCUAUCAUUGUUUACAAUUAUAAAUCUGCAGCACACAUGAAACACAGUGAAGGUAAAAGCUUUUUGCCUCCUCUCAUAUAUGUUACUGCAUAUUUUAGCUUCCAAGUGGUAUAUAGUCAAUAUGCUGUCAUGUUUGAACUCUGUAUUUUCCUUCUAACAAUAGUCUAUGUUGGGGAAGAUUUCUCUUGUCUAGUGUGGUGUGCAGUGUCAAAAUUUUAUUUUUUCAUUGUGAUGAACUCUAACUUAUCACAGGACUAUUGAUUUCUUCUUUACAUCAUUGAGAUUAUUGUUUCAGUUAUUAAACUCAGUCUUCACAAUAAAGAUUUAGAACAAACUUAGAAAAACC
rnacentral:lncRNA from 1 species